rnacentral:rRNA from 1 species
UACGUUCCCGGGUCUUGUACACACCGCCCGUCACACCACGGGAGUAGGUAACACCCGAAGCCGGUGGCCUAACCGCAAGGAGGGAGCCGUCGAAGGUGGGACCUGUGACUGGGGUG